AGAUUGAACGCUGGCGGCAGGCCUAACACAUGCAAGUCGAGCGGUAGAGAGGUGCUUGCAUCUCUUGAGAGCGGCGGACGGGUGAGUAAUGCCUAGGAAUCUGCCUAGUGGUGGGGGAUAACGUUCGGAAACGGACGCUAAUACCGCAUACGUCCUACGGGAGAAAGCGGGGGACCUUCGGGCCUCGCGCCAUUAGAUGAGCCUAGGUCGGAUUAGCUAGUUGGUGAGGUAAUGGCUCACCAAGGCGACGAUCCGUAACUGGUCUGAGAGGAUGAUCAGUCACACUGGAACUGAGACACGGUCCAGACUCCUAC
rnacentral:rRNA from 1 species